UACGGGGGGGGCAAGCGUUGUUCGGAAUUACUGGGCGUAAAGGGCUCGUAGGCGGCCAACUAAGUCGGACGUGAAAUCCCUCAGCUUAACUGGGGAACUGCGUCUGGGACUGGUCGGCUUGAGGGCCGGAGAGGAACGCGGAAUUCCUGGUGUAGCGGUGAAAUGCGCAGAUAUCAGGAGGAACACCGGUGGCGAAGGCGGUUCUCUGGGCAUGUCCUGACGCUGAGGAGCGAAAGUGUGGGGAGCGAACAGG
rnacentral:rRNA from 1 species